rnacentral:rRNA from 1 species
CCUACGGGAGGCAGCAGUGAGGAAUAUUGGUCAAUGGGCGCGAGCCUGAACCAGCCAAGUAGCGUGAAGGAUGACUGCCCUAUGGGUUGUAAACUUCUUUUAUCUGGGAAUAAAAUGUGCCACGUGUGGCAUUUUGUAUGUACCAUAUGAAUAAGGAUCGGCUAACUCCGUGCCAGCAGCCGCGGUAAUACGGAGGAUCCGAGCGUUAUCCGGAUUUAUUGGGUUUAAAGGGAGCGUAGGUGGAUUGUUAAGUCAGUUGUGAAAGUUUGCGGCUCAACCGUAAAAUUGCAGUUGAUACUGGCAGUCUUGAGUACAGUUGAGGUAGGCGGAAUACGUGGUGUAGCGGUGAAAUGCUUAGAUAUCACGAAGAACUCCGAUUGUGAAGGCAGCUUACUAGACUGCAACUGACACUGAUGCUCGAAAGUGUGGGUAUCAAACAGGAUUAGAUACCCCUGUAGUC